GUGGGGAAUAUUGGGCAAUGGGGGCAACCCUGACCCAGCAACGCCGCGUGAGGGAAGAAGGUUUUCGGAUUGUAAACCUCUGUCCUAUGGGAAGAAGGAAGUGACGGUACCAUAGGAGGAAGCCCCGGCUAACUACGUGCCAGCAGCCGCGGUAAUACGCAGGGGGCGAGCGUUGUCCGGAAUUACUGGGCGUAAAGGGGGCGCAGGUGGCCUGACAAGUCAGAUGUGAAAUACCGAUGCUUAACGUCGGGGCUGCAUUUGAAACUAUGAGGCUGGAGUGCAGGAGAGGGAAGCGGAAUUCCUAGUGUAGCGGUGAAAUGCAUAGAUAUUAGGAGGAACACCAGUGGCGAAGGCGGCUUUCUGGACUGUAACUGACACUGAGGCACGAAAGCGUGGGGAGCAAACAGGAUUAGAUACCCGAGUAGUCC
rnacentral:rRNA from 1 species